rnacentral:rRNA from 1 species
GAUGAACGCUGACAGAAUGCUUAACACAUGCAAGUCAACUUGAACUUCGGUUUGGGUGGCGGACGGGUGAGUAACGCGUAAGGAACUUGCCUCACAGCUAGGGACAACAUUUGGAAACGAAUGCUAAUACCUGAUAUUAUGCUUUUAGGGCAUCCUAGAAUUAUGACAGCUAUAUGCGCUGUGAGAGAGCUUUGCGUCCCAUGAGCUAGUUGGAGAGGUAACGGCUCACCAUGGCGAUGAUGGGUAGCCGGCCUGAGGGGGUGAACGGCCACAAGGGGACUGAGACACGGCACGUACCCCUGCGGGAGGCAGCAGUGGGGAAUAUUGGACGAUGGACCAAGAGUCUGAUGCAGCAAUUCUGUGUGGACGAUGAAGUUUUUCGGAAUGUAAAGUGCUUUCAGUUGGGAAGAAAAAAAUGACGGUACCAACAGAAGAAGUGACGGCUAAAUACGUG